GAGUUUGAUCGUGGCUCAGGAUGAACGCUGGCGGCGUGCCUAAUACAUGCAAGUCGAGCGAACAGAUAAGGAGCUUGCUCCUUUGAAGUUGGCGGCGGACGGGUGAGUAACACGUGGGUAACCUACCUAUAAGACUGGGAUAACUUCGGGAAACCGGAGCUAAUACCGGAUAACAUUUAGAACCGCAUGGUUCUAAAGUGAAAGAUGGUUUUGCUAUCACUUAUAGAUGGACCCGCGCCGUAUUAGCUAGUUGGUAAGGUAACGGCUUACCAAGGCGACGAUACGUAGCCGACCUGAGAGGGUGAUCGGCCACACUGGAACUGAGACACGGUCCAGACUCCUACGGGAGGGCAGCAGUAGGGAAGUCUUCCGCAAUGGGCGAAAGCCUGACGGAGCAACGCCGCGUGAGUGAUGAAGGGUUUCGGCUCGUAAAACUCUGUUAUUAGGGAAGGACAAAUGUGUAAGUAACUGUGCACAUCUUGACGGUACCUAAUCAGAAAGCCACGGCUAACUACGUGCCAGCCGCCGCGGUAAU
rnacentral:rRNA from 1 species